rnacentral:rRNA from 1 species
UACGGAGGGGGCGAGCGUUAUUCGGAAUUACUGGGCGUAAAGCGCGCGUAGGCGGCUUUGCAAGCCGGAUGUGAAAUCCCCGGGCUUAACCUGGGAACUGCAUUCGGGACUGCAUUGCUAGAGUAUGGGAGAGGGAAGUGGAAUUUCAGGUGUAGCGGUGAAAUGCGUAGAUAUCUGAAGGAACAUCAGUGGCGAAAGCGACUUCCUGGACCAAUACUGACGCUCAUGUGCGAAAGCGUGGGGAGCAAACAGG